rnacentral:rRNA from 1 species
UUCCCCUAGUAGCGGCGAGCGAAGCGGGAAAAGCUCAAAUUUGUAAUCUGGCGUCUUCGACGUCCGAGUUGUAAUCUCGAGAAGUGUUUUCCGUGAUAGACCGCAUACAAGUCUCUUGGAACAGAGCGUCAUAGUGGUGAGAACCCAGUACACGAUGCGGAUGCCUAUUACUUUGUGAUACACUUUCGAAGAGUCGAGUUGUUUGGGAAUGCAGCUCAAAUUGGGUGGUAAAUUCCAUCUAAAGCUAAAUAUUGGCGAGAGACCGAUAGCGAACAAGUACCGUGAGGGAAAGAUGAAAAGCACUUUGGAAAGAGAGUUAACAGUACGUGAAAUUGUUGGAAGGGAAACACAUGCAGUGAUACUUGCUAUUCGGGGCAACUCGAUUGGCAGGCCCGCAUCAGUUUUUCGGGGCGGAAAAGCAUAGAGAGAAGGUAGCAGUUUCGGCUGUGUUAUAGCUCUUUAUUGGAUUCGCCCUGGGGGACUGAGGAACGCAGCGUGC